rnacentral:rRNA from 1 species
GCGGCGUGCUUACACAUGCAGUCGAACGAUGAACCACUUCGGUGGGGAUUAGUGGCGAACGGGUGAGUAACACGUGGGCAAUCUGCCCUGCACUCUGGGACAAGCCCUGGAAACGGGGUCUAAUACCGGAUAUUGACCUUCACGGGCAUCUGUGAGGUUCGAAAGCUCCGGCGGUGCAGGAUGAGCCCGCGGCCUAUCAGCUUGUUGGUGAGGUAAUGGCUCACCAAGGCGACGACGGGUAGCCGGCCUGAGAGGGCGACCGGCCACACUGGGACUGAGACACGGCCCAGACUCCUACGGGAGGCAGCAGUGGGGAAUAUUGCACAAUGGGCGAAAGCCUGAUGCAGCGACGCCGCGUGAGGGAUGACGGCCUUCGGGUUGUAAACCUCUUUCAGCAGGGAAGAAGCGAAAGUGACGGUACCUGCAGAAGAAGCGCCGGCUAACUACGUGCCAGCAGCCGCGGUAAUACGUAGGGCGCAAGCGUUGUCCGGAAUUAUUGGGCGUAAAGAGCUCGUAGGCGGCUUGUCACGUCGGUUGUGAAAGCCCGGGGCUUAACCCCGGGUCUGCAGUCGAUACGGGCAGGCUAGAGUUCGGUAGGGGAGAUCGGAAUUCCUGGUGUAGCGGUGAAAUGCGCAGAUAUCAGGAGGAACACCGGUGGCGAAGGCGGAUCUCUGGGCCGAUACUGACGCUGAGGAGCGAAAGCGUGGGGAGCGAACAGGAUUAGAUACCCUGGUAGUCCACGCCGUAAACGGUGGGCACUAGGUGUGGGCAACAUUCCACGUUGUCCGUGCCGCAGCUA